rnacentral:rRNA from 1 species
UACGUAGGGUCCGAGCGUUGUCCGGAGUGACUGGGCGUAAAGCGCGCGCAGGCGGCUGAGCAGGCGUCACGUGAAAGCCCCGGGCUUAACCCGGGAGGGUCGUGGCGAACCGCUCGGCUUGAGGCCGGUAGAGGUGGGUGGAACUCCUGGUGGAGUGGUGAAAUGCGUAGAGAUCAGGAAGAACACCCGUGGCGAAGGCGGCCCACUGGGCCGGACCUGACGCUGAGGCGCGAAGGCGUGGGGAGCGAACGGGAUUAGAUACCCCGGUAGUCCACGCAGUAAACGAUGUCGACUCGGUGUGGGCGGUAUUGACCCCGUCCGUGCCACAGCUAACGCGACAAGUCGACCGCCUGGGGAGUACGGCCGCAAGGCUAAA